UGUAAUACGUCUCAAGGUUGGCGUGAUGUCUUAAAGUUUUCAUUGGAGAACCAAAGGGAUUGCAAUUAAUGUGUGGUUAUCUUGAAGAAUCAUACAUUGUUUACAAUGCUUUUAGUUCUCCACUGGAUAUUACAAAACAUUACAAUGAGAAUUGCAUGACCAAAACCUUUGAAACAAACUUAAGAGCAUUAAAAUCAAGUAUUCA